rnacentral:lncRNA from 1 species
GGUCCUGAAGUUACCGGGGCUUCUGUUCGUCCUUCCAAUCCUCCUUCAAAGCAUUCCCACUGGGCACUUUUUCGAAAAGGAUCCGGUCACUGGUUGAUAACCUUUCAAGGCAGACAGGGAAUAUGUUGUUCCAGAUAAUGAUGACAUCAGGGCAUGCAGAACUAUCGUACAGUAGGACGUGUACCCUCUUUUAAAUUAUGCUAAAACCACCAUUUGUGUUCUGGUAUUAAGAAUAAAUUAUUUUAUUUCUGUGCAGGUUAUUAACCUGCUAUGCUCUUGUUAUUAUUUCUUCACCUUUGCGUUGUUCUCAACUAAACAUCG